rnacentral:rRNA from 1 species
UGGGGAAUAUUGGGCAAUGGGGGCAACCCUGAUCCAGCCAUGCCGCGUGAGUGAAGAAGGCCUUCGGGUUGUAAAGCUCUUUCGGCGGGGACGAAACGGUCCGUGACAACACCACGGACUAAUGACAGUACUCGCAGAAGAAGCACCGGCUAACUACGUGCCAGCAGCCGCGGUAAUACGUAGGGUGCAGGCGUUAAUCGGAAUUACUGGGCGUAAAGCGUGCGCAGGCGGCUCCUUAAGUCAGAUGUGAAAUCCCCGGGCUUAACCUGGGAACUGCGUUUGAAACUGAGGGGCUAGAGUGUGGAAGAGGGGGGUGGAAUUCCAGGUGUAGCAGUGAAAUGCGUAGAGAUCUGGAGGAACACCGAUGGCGAAGGCAGCCCCCUGGGCUAACACUGACGCUCAUGCACGAAAGCGUGGGGAGCAAACAGGAUUAGAUACCCCCGUAGUCCCUGAGCGGGCUGGCAAGGCGCAU